rnacentral:rRNA from 1 species
CAGCAGCCGCGGGAAUACAGAGGAUGCAAGCGUUAUCCGGAAUGAUUGGGCGUAAAGGGAGCGCAGGCGGACAUAUAAGUCCAUCUUAAAAGUGCGGGGCUCAACCCCGUGAGGGGAUGGAAACUGUAUGCCUUGAGUGCAGGAGAGGAAAGCGGAAUUCCCAGUGUAGCGGUGAAAUGCGUAGAUAUUGGGAGGAACACCAGUGGCGAAGGCGGCUUUCUGGACUGUAACUGACGCUGAGGCUCGAAAGCCAGGGGAGCGAACGGGAUUAGAUACCCCAGUAGUCCCUGUCUCUUAUACA